UACAGAGGUCUCAAGCGUUGUUCGGAUUCAUUGGGCGUAAAGGGUGCGUAGGUGGCGCCAUAAGUCAGGUGUGAAAUCUCGGGGCUCAACCCCGAAACUGCACUUGAUACUGUGGUGCUUGAGUACUGGAGAGGAGAUUGGAAUUUACGGUGUAGCAGUGAAAUGCGUAGAUAUCGUAAGGAAGACCAGUGGCGAAGGCGAAUCUCUGGACCACAACUGACGCUGAGGCGCGAAAGCUAGGGGAGCAAACAGG
rnacentral:rRNA from 1 species